AAAAAAUAUGUUGACUUACGACACAUGGAUUCCGGCAGUUUAGAAGAACCGUCGCCGCUAUGUUAAUAUUUGAAACCUUGCGGCCGUUCAAAAGCAACCGUCGAGAAGUCGACAAACCCGCGCUAUUUCACUUCUUCCCUCUUUUUUCAGAAUUUCUUCAAUCCCACAACCUUCGAGCGUCAAUCUCUAAAUCAGAUUCGUUUUCAAGCUUCUUCAAUCCCUAAACCCUAAAAAAAUCCUAAAUCUGUGAUUCUCAUAAGCUUCUCAUCGAUAUUCUUACUCAUAAGCUUCAAUCCUAAAUCUGUGAUUCUCACUCACAAGCUCCAAUCCCUAAAUCUCUCAAGCUACGUUCAGAUUCAACAUUCAGGCUUCGUUCGAAUCCCUAAAUCACUCAACCUCUCCAGCUUCGUUGAACCUCUCAAGCUUCGCUGAACCUUCAAUCUCCAUUCAACUUCGUUCAGCUUCGUUUAACAUUCAAAAUCAUAUUCAAUCUUCAAAAUCCAGAUUAUUUGAAUCCAUUUCAUGCAUAUGAUGAAGGGAAUCUUACAUGGCUGGUAAGUGAUCAUUCUGAAGCUUGCAAUACGUAGUAAUCAGUACUAGAAUGGCUAAUUACCUGCACACAAAUGUUGAAUCAGUGUUAGAUAUGUAUAAUGUAAGUAUCAAGGAGGCUGAUAUUCAUUAUAGUUUAUUUUGAAGAUUUUGAUGCUGAAAGAAGGUUAUCACAUGCAUUCAAAUUAAUAGUUAAAGUGUAGAUUUUAAUAAAUUUUGUGCUACUGUUUAGAGUACCUUUGUUCAUGUAUGAUUCAAAAGAAGAGAAGGUUUAUUUGAAGAGUUUUAUAAUUGUUCUGUGAA